GCUUUGCCUGAUGAUCCAUGGGGAAUCUUCCAUUCGGUGCCUUUCAGAGAGGUUGGUUUGUGGGUGCAGGAGCACAGGCCACAAGCAGGGGCCUGAGUGGCUGGAAACCACCCCGCGACCUGGCAUUCCUGAGCUGCUCCGUUCUGCCAGGAAACUGCCCAGCUGUAUGGAGACAGACAGGGAGUUGCUCUUCUGGUCCUCAGAGGAAAGGAAGUACAGUGAUGUCAGCAAUGACCGCCACUGACAUCUCUACCUGGUCAAAUAGCCAAACUGUCCCAAAGGAGAGCCUUGAACUCAGAGUUGGAGUGCACCUAGAGGAGAUGUUGCUGCUAAUUUGGGAAUGGGUUUGGUCUGAUGGUGUCUGGGCCUUCCAGAGUUCUGAAACAGAAGCCAGAGUACAAAGACAACUGGAGAAUACACAUGUAGAAUAAAUAAGCUGAGAAUAACGGAAAGUUGGAUGAGAGAAUUGACAUUCCACAAAGGUUUUACUUCUCCAAACAGUUGUUCAGAUCAUCUUGGGUCAUCUGGAUUUUGGCCAUUUCGUCACA
rnacentral:lncRNA from 1 species